GUCUAUUCCUGGGCUACUACUGGAAUAAGAAAGAAAAAACCAUGUGUGAUUAAGCAAGUUGUGCAUAAUACAAGUCCAAGAUCAAAGAUGUCAACAGGAAUAUGAAUCUGGAAGGUUGAAGUGCUGUGUUGAGAAAAUUUGUGUAAUAUACAAGUGAAGAAGAUGAAGGUUCUUCACUGAAAGAAAAUAAGGGUCAUGUUUGUGAUCAUCAUUCAAGACCAAGUACCAAAGAAAACAGCAACAUCUGGCUGAAGAAGGCUUCUUCAAACUGCAGAAGAGAGGAGGGAAGUUCGUAAUUAGACUGAUGGCAAGCCACAUUUGGGCAUGUGAAAAAAUAUCUCUGAUCACUGUGUUUUGACCUUAAAAGGAAGUGUGGUCCAAAGUUUGGAACCAUUAUUUAUAUACAGCUUUUGUCAUUCAGUUCACUGACAAGUGUUAA